UACGUAGGGGGCAAGCGUUGUCCGGAUUUACUGGGCGUAAAGAGCGCGCAGGCGGCUGGCCAAGUCCGAUGUGAAAUCUCCCGGCUUAACUGGGAAACUGCAUCGGAAACUGACCGGCUUGAAGGUGGGAGAGGGUAGUGGAAUUCCCGGUGUAGAGGUGAAAUUCGUAGAUAUCGGGAGGAACACCAGUGGCGAAGGCGGCUCUCUGGGGCAGAUACUGACGCUGAGACGCGAAAGCGUGGGGAGCAAACAGG
rnacentral:rRNA from 1 species